rnacentral:siRNA from 1 species
AGAGUCAACAUUGCCGGUAGUGA